rnacentral:rRNA from 2 species
UACGUAGGGACCAAGCGUUGUUCGGAUUUACUGGGCGUAAAGGGCGCGUAGGCGGCAAUUCAAGUCAGCUGUGAAAUCUCCGGGCUUAACUCGGAACGGUCAGCUGAUACUGUUUUGCUAGAGUGCAGAAGGGGCAAUCGGAAUUCUCGGUGUAGCGGUGAAAUGCGUAGAUAUCGAGAGGAACACCUGAGGUGAAGACGGGUUGCUGGGCUGACACUGACGCUGAUGCGCGAAAGCCAGGGUAGCAAACGGG